GAAAUGCGAUAAGUAAUGUGAACUGCAGAAUUCAGUGAAUCAUCGAAUCUUUGAACGCACAUUGCGCCCGCCAGCACUCUGGCGGGCAUGCCUGUUCGAGCGUCAUUUCAACCCUCAGAACCCCUUGCGGGAUCUGGCGUUGGGGAUUGGCAUCCAGCCAGCCCCGAAAUCUAGCGGCGGUCCCUCCGCGACCUCCCCUGUGCAGUAGCGAUACCUCGCAGCGGGACAGCGGUCUGACCACGCCGUAAAACCCCCAACUUCUCAAGGUUGACCUCGAAUCAGGUAGGAAUACCCGCUGAACUUAAGC
rnacentral:misc_RNA from 1 species